GAAGCGGAAUGGGAUACUGGGGGGGGGAGGUAUCCGGGCAGGUGAAGCUGGGCAGAGGAAACCGAACUCCCUGGCCGCCUGAGGAGAUUGCCGCUGUGUGACUGCAAACGGGGGGUCUGCAGGAGGAGAAGGCAGACAGACAGAGCGAGGGAGCCGCAGGGUUGCCUGGACUUGAGCUGGGACAGGAGUUGCUGGGGAGCGGCCCUGGCAAACUCGCCUUUGGCUUUGCAGCUGCUUUCCGAGUUCCGAAGUCAGCCCGCCGCCCGCCUCUAAACCUCGCGCCCAAAAGGCGGGGAAGUCAGCCUGGAGCCCCGAGGCAGAACGCCAGGCGCUUGCCCGCCCUCUGUGUGGACCUCGACAAGAGGUUGGGGGACAGAAACGGCCACCUUAAGCUGCCUCCCCCCCCCCCCAAAAAAUACGUUUUUUUAAAAAAAAAAAUAUGUUACAUAAAUUCCUUGUGUUUCGAAGUGCGGUGGGUUUUAUACUGCCGCGACAGGAUUUGCAGGCCUGGACUAGGGCCAUGAAGGGGCUGACUUAAGUUAUGGCGAUUUCUUUAUUGCAGAUCUCAAGUUUGUUCGGAUUUGCUUAUUAGGGUUAUUUUUUUUUUUUAAAGCUAGAUAUGGAGCUAGAUAGAGAAAAGGAGGUCAGUCGCAUCCCACCUCUAUUCCCCACCCCACCCACACACCCCACUUUGCUUCAACUGAAAACUUUCAAACUGCUUCCUUGGCUCCUGCGCAGAUUCCAAUAAAGAGCACCAUGCAAAAAGCCAGCUACUAAUUUUGCAACAGCCUACUGUGAUUUAGAAUGCAUGGCUAAAGCAACGUUUGACUUGGUGUAUCAGGAAUUGCAACCCAAGAUGUUUGGAGAGUGCCGAAAUAAUCUCUUGGAACUUAUCUAUCCCUGGAGACAUUGACUCUCAGCAGGUAGCAGCACCUGGCUGACCUUGUCUGAGGCACCAUGGGUUCCUGCUUGGAUGGGAGACUAACCAGGGAGUAACAAAUUUGUGGGCCAGCCUGGAAAGUCCAGAAACAUCUUGAAGUGGACCAUGGCAAGCUGUUUCCAUUGCUUUACAAAGAAAACUGCAUGACUAUGUCCAUGAAGUUACUUUGGAAUUAAGCUCAUUUUGAAAAAAGACUACUUUUAUUGAUGUUUUGUGGAAAAUGUAAUUGAGAUUACUCUGAAUUGUGUUCAGUAAUGUGCAGUGUAUUUGUGGACUGCAUGCUUCAAGUUACUGCAUGAUUUUUUUUUCGCCCUGAGAUGACUUUAUAAAUAAACAGUGACCUGUGCUGAAGAACUUACUUCCUUAUUCCUGUUCAGAAAGUAAAUAGAAUAAGCAGAGUUAUUUACACUUGCCACAAUUUUCCCUGCACCUUCACUUCUUUUUUUUUCUUUUUCUUUUAACUAAUAAGUUUUCUUACAUGGUUCAUAAAAAAAAGCCCCACUUGAUUUAAUAAAGAAAUUAAACUAG